rnacentral:lncRNA from 1 species
AGGAUAUUAGGCAUGAGUGUAUUGUCAUUUAUAAAGCAUGAUGCUGAUACGUAGAACUGUUUGGUUCUUUCCAGGUAAUGCAUCCCAUUUAUGUACAGGGGCAAUUCUGAAGCUACAUGACAUGGAAAAAGACUGUCCUUUUCCCGUUUGGCUACAUAGAAUGGCAGUGCUUACUGUUGCAAACAGUGAGUUCACUGUUCAACUCCAGGCCCCAGCCUCUGACAUCAAGCUCUGGAUUGUCUGCUGACUAAAGUGCUAGAAGACAAAGAAACUGAAUAGAAGGAAGGCUCGUGGGACCCCUGCAUUCUGCUUGCUUAUUCUUAGAGGCCACCCCUCCACAGAAGACUUCUUAGGACAUUGCCUUGCUGUGGUUCUGCACCAGUUGCUAUGUCUGGAUAUGAAAUAAUUCUAGCGAGAUCCUCGUUAAAAUGCUAAGCAAAAGCAAAGCUUUAUGAAGCACAUAAUAUUCAUACAAGUUUAAGAAAAAUAUCCAUCCAUUUGGAGAACAAAUGUUUUUGAAACUCUAUGCAAACUCUUAAUUACGAUACAUUUUUACUUUUCAUUAUAGUAGGUUCUUAGAGGACUUUUACUUCAUAGCAUUUUAUACCUGAGUUAUUGUUAUUAUUGAAAGAAAAUUGAAAUAAAUUUCACAAUCCUUUGCCAUAUAUCAUUUUAACUAUUUAACACUGUUUCUCCCUGAAGACAUUACACGUUUUUGGAUUGUUACUAUGUUAGGUUGCUUCCUGGCCAGCCCCUCUCUCAAAGUCAUGAACGGUGAGCUCUUGAUCCAGAGAAAUCAAAUCUUUAAAGGUAAACUCAAUAAAAUAAUGUCACUUUGUUCAAAGAAAAAGCAGAUGAAAUAUCUUAAUGAGAGUUAUCAACUAAGCAAAUAUUUAUUGAGAAUCUACGCGGUUCUUUUGAGGCCCAUGUCUUUGUAGUGUUCUGUCAUAGUAAGAGGUCCAGCUACUCUGAAGCUGCCAUGCUGUGAUGUCCAGGCCACGUGGAGAGGCCGUGUGAACCUGCUCCAGCCAAUAGCUGAGGUCCCACGCAACAGCUCGCAUCAACUGCCAGACAGGAGUGAAGACUCCUCCAGAGAACUUCAGCCUCCAGCCAUUGAUUCAUUCAUAGCCUUCAAGCCCUUCCCAGCUGAGGCACAAGACAUUGUGGAGUGCAGUGCAGUAGCUGAAUUCCUGACCCACAGAAACUACGGGCAUAAUAAAGGGAUUGCUGUAUGCCA